AACUAACGCUGGCGGCGUGCCUAACACAUGCAAGUCGUACGAGAAAGUCCGCUUCGGUGGAUAAGUAAAGUGGCGCACGGGUGAGUAACGCGUGGAUAAUCUACCCCUCAGUUGGGAAUAACUCAUCGAAAGGUGGGCUAAUACCGGAUAAUACUACACAUCUUCUGUUGUGUAGUCAAAGAUGGCCUCUGCUUGCAAGCUUUCGCUGAAGGAUGAGUCCGCGUACCAUUAGCUAGUUGGUAGGGUAAUGGCCUACCAAGGCAACGAUGGUUAGCUGGUCUGAGAGGAUGAUCAGCCACACUGGAACUGAGACACGGUCCAGACUCCUACGGGUGCUG
rnacentral:rRNA from 1 species